UUUCCGUAGGUGAACCUGCGGAAGGAUCAUUAAAAAUGCCUCGACCUAAACUCAAAAGGUCUGAGGAUUACAACCUUAGUUGGCACAUCCCAUCCCUUUGGGGAGAGCGCGUGUCGAUUAAUGUGCCCCACCCUUUGUGAAACUUCUACCUUUGCUUCGGCAGCACCUUGCGGGAGACCGCAGGGGUAAGGCUGUCAGAAGCCCAUGACAAAACCUGUUGAUAAAUGUGUCUGUCUGAUAUUUCGCAAUUUGAGAAAUCAAAUGUUAUUAAAACUUUCAGCAACGGAUCUCUUGGUUCCC
rnacentral:misc_RNA from 1 species